UACGUAGGGGGCAAGCGUUGUCCGGAUUUAUUGGGCGUAAAGAGCGUGUAGGCGGCCAGAUAGGUCUGUUGUGAAAACUCGAGGCUCAACCUCGAGACGCCGACGGAAACCAUCUGGCUAGAGUCCGGAAGAGGAGAGUGGAAUUCCUGGUGUAGCGGUGAAAUGCGUAGAUAUCAGGAGGAACACCGAUGGCGAAGGCAGGUCUCUGGGCUGACACUGACGCUCAUGCACGAAAGCGUGGGGAGCAAACAGG
rnacentral:rRNA from 1 species